GGCAAGAAAGGCCUUGUGGUUCAGGCACUGGGCUGGGAGCCCGGAGAGCUGGGCUCUAUUCCCAGCCCUGCCA
rnacentral:tRNA from 1 species